UGUUGAUACAGGGCAAGUGCUUUGUUUACGUUGUGGAUGUGGAUACGGGCAACCGAUCUUGGCCUGGAAAAGUUGGAUUUGCCGGUUGUCCAAGCUGCCGCCAACGCUGUGGGAAGAAAAUGGCCCAGUGUGACACCAGCAGGCUACGGGCAACCGACAACUCGCUCCCAGUAGCCACAACGGUUAGAAGAAAACGGCCAGUGUGACACUGCCCCAAGGCAGCGAGGCCGCUGACCGGGUGAGCGCCAGCGAUAAUGUCAUCAGACUCCCAGCGAAUCACAAGCGUGUUUUCAGAGCUCAGCCAAUCGUAAGGCUUCAUCUGUGGCUUUAAAACGACCCGUUCCCUCUUCCUGUUUUCUUCCUUUUUCCAAGAACAUCAUGGCAGCAAUGUUUACUUCUCCAUGCAGAGUGCUCUCUUCCAUCAGACUUGCAAGAUGCAUUUGUAACACCUCUGUUUCUUUCACAGGUAAGCAAGACUAAAGUAUGUAUAAAGGCCAUAUACCAGAAUUCUUUUGUAAUAAACUUUUCAUGUAAGUGG